rnacentral:rRNA from 1 species
GACGAACGCUGGCGGCGUGCCUAAUACAUGCAAGUCGAGCGGACUUUCAAGAAGCUUGCUUUUUGAAAGUUAGCGGCGGACGGGUGAGUAACACGUGGGCAACCUGCCUGCAAGACGGGGAUAACUCCGGGAAACCGGGGCUAAUACCGGAUAAUAUCUUCCUUCGCAUGAAGCAAGGUUGAAAGGCGGCGCAAGCUGCCGCUUGCAGAUGGGCCCGCGGCGCAUUAGCUAGUUGGUGAGGUAACGGCUCACCAAGGCGACGAUGCGUAGCCGACCUGAGAGGGUGAUCGGCCACACUGGGACUGAGACACGGCCCAGACUCCUACGGGAGGCAGCAGUAGGGAAUCUUCCGCAAUGGACGAAAGUCUGACGGAGCAACGCCGCGUGAGCGAAGAAGGUCUUCGGAUCGUAAAGCUCUGUUGUCAGGGAAGAACAAGUACCGUUCGAACAGGGCGGUACCUUGACGGUACCUGACCAGAAAGCCACGGCUAACUACGUG